GUAACGCCCGCUGAAGGAGUCCCAGUGUAAUAAGGUCCCGGAGAAGUGUCACUGGCCCUGAGUGGGACCCGGUAGCCCGUUCGCUCCGCGCCGGCGGCCUGUCCCCGCGGCUUGGCGGGCUAGGGCAGGGGAAAUGUUGCAGGAGGAGUCGGACCUCUCUCUCAUUAUUGCCCAGAUAGUCCAAAAGCUCAAGGGCUCCAAUUUGUACUCUCAGCUGGAACGGCAGGCCUGGGCCAGUCUUCAGAGACCUGAGAUAAAACUUGAAUCACUGAAAGAAGAUAUUAAGGAAUUCUUUAAAAUAUCAGGUUGGGAGAAGAAACUUCAGAAUGCUGUUUAUAGUGAACUGAGUGUGUUUCCUUUACCUAGUCAUCCUGCUGCACCUCCUGAACAUCUUAAAGAACCUUUGGUAUACAUGAGGAAAGCACAGGGAAGUUGGGAAAAAAGAAUUUUGAAGAGUUUAAAUAGUAUGUGCACUGAACUGAGUAUCCCACUGGCACGAAAGAGGCCAGUUGGAGAACAGAAAGAACUUCUUAAUAAAUGGAAUGAAAUGGGAACUGAUGAACCAGAUUUAAGCCUUUUCAGACCUGUUUAUGCACCUAAGGAUUUUCUUGAGGUAUUAAUUAAUCUUCGAAACCCAAAUUAUGAAAAUAGUGAUUCUCUUAGUUUCCGGACUCAUUUGGGUUUAAUUCAAGUUCCACUGAAAGUAAAAGACAUCCCUGAAUUGAAAGAAUGCUUUGUGGAACUUGGCUUAAAUAUAGGACAACUGGGUAUAGAUGAUUCUACACAAGUGCCUCCUGAACUUUUUGAAAAUGAGCAUGUACGUAUUGGGCAAAAAGUUCUAGCAGAACAAGAUAGUGCUGCUGCUCAACAGUACAUCAGACAAGGAAGUCCCACGGCACUGAGAGCUGAAUUGUGGGCUCUCAUUUUGAAUAUUUCCAGCCAACCUGAGGAUGUCUUGUAUUAUGAGCAGCUUAAGACUAAUGUGAUACAACAUGACCUUUUGGUGGACAGUCUAAUCUAUAAAGAUGUGAAGUUGACAGCAAGCAAUGAUGAUUAUUAUUUUGUAUUUGAAGAUUAUUUAUAUCAGGUAUUACUUUGUUUUUCCCGGGAUACAUCUGUGUUGAGUCACUUUGCAUUCAACAGUGCCUCGCCACCAAAAUCAUACAUAAGAGGAAAACUAGGACUGGAAGAAUAUGCUGUCUUUUACCCACCAAAUGGUGUUAUCCCUUUUCAUGGAUUUUCAAUGUAUGUUGCACCACUUUGUUUUCUAUACCAUGAACCUUCCAAAUUGUAUCAGAUAUUCCGUGAGAUGUAUGUGCGUUUUUUCUUCAGACUCCAUUCCAUCUCUUCUCAUCCUUCUGGUAUUGUGUCACUCUGUCUGCUGUUUGAAACUCUUCUUCAAACUUAUCUUCCCCAACUCUUUUAUCAUCUACGGGAAAUUGGAGCUCAACCACUUCGCAUAUCAUUUAAGUGGAUGGUUCGAGCUUUCUCUGGAUACUUAGCUACAGAUCAGCUCUUGCUUUUAUGGGAUAGAAUCCUAGGAUACAACUCUUUGGAAAUUCUUGCUGAUAUGUGGUGUACAUAUACUUACUCAACAAACGUCGAAUACUUACUCUGAGCAAGGUACUGUGCUGGACCUUCAAUGUAUACAGGUAUUUGUGUGAUUGCUUUUUCAGUAUCAAAUGUGGUAAGAGACAGUACCCCCUAUGACAAUAGAAUCUUAGCACAUCUUUCUUAAAGUAAUGGCACCAUCCUUCCUGUGAUAGGAAAAAUAAUGGUUCCUCAAAGAUAUUCAUGUUCUAAUUCCUGAAAACUCUGUAUAUGUUACCUUACCGGCAAAAGGGACUUGCUGAUGUUAUUAACAAUUUAGAGAUGGGGAGAUUAUCCUGGAUUAUCAGGUGGGCCCAAUGUAAUGACAAGUGUUCCUAUAAUUGACAGCGAAACAGAGAAACAGGAGGGUAUGAGUCACAGAGGGAUUUGAAGGUGUCACACAACUGGCUUUAAAAAUGGAGGAAGGGGCCAUGAGCCAGGAACACAGGCAGCUUCUAGAAGCUGGAAGGAAAUGGAGUCUCCCAUGACUCUCCAGAAGGAAUGCAUCCCUACUGACACCUUGAUUGUAGGACUUUUGACCUCCAGAACUGUAAGAUAAUAAUGUUGUAUUGUUUUGAGCUCCUAUAUGGGUCAUAGUUUGUGACAGCAAUAAGAGACAAUCUGUCUCCUCGCAGCUAAAUUAAGUUUACUGUAUUAACUGUAACAUAUGAUAAUAACAAAUUCACAUUGUUUGAAUAACGCUUUUUAUAAAAUAGGUGAUUCUGCCUGUCUUAAUUUCUCUUGUGUGGUUUUGAUAAUGAUCGAAUGUAAACCAAAAAUAAAAUUCUAAGACCUCCCAACCAUCUAAAUGGACUUCCUCGUUAGCCAGGGCUCUUAAAAUUUAACCUGAAAGACUGGUUCAGGCCAUAAAGGGAAGUAGGGGUCGGACAUGCCUGACUGUACUUCUCCAGCAUUAAAAUCAACACAGACUUUAAGUCUGAUGAGAAACAUUUUACAGCCUGUUCUCCCUGAAGCCCACUAGCUAAAAGCUUCACCUGCAUGAUAAAACUCUGGUCUCCACAACCCAAACAUUCUAUUGAUCCCAGGUUUUUAGACAAACUCAACCAAUUGUCAACCAGGAAAUGUUUAAAUUUACCUAUAGCCUUGAUGCCUCCCCGCCUUGAGUUGUCCCGCCUUUCUGGACCAAACCAAUGUCUUUCUUAAAUGUACUUGAUUGAUGGUGCAUGCCUCCCUAAAAUCUAUAAAACCAAGCUGCAUCCCAACAACCUUGGGCACAUGUCAUCAGGACUUCCUGAGGCUGUGUCACGGGCACAAGUCCUCAACCUUGACAAAAUGAACUUUCUAAAUUAACUGAGACCUGUCUCAGAUUUUCUGGGUCUACACAAGUAAGAUAAAAUACAUAAAAGUAUCUUGAAUACAAACUUCUGUUCUGGUGCUGACAGGGAAAAGACCACAGAAAGUUGGGCAAGUGUGAUAGAGGAAGAGGGGUGUUAGGGAAAGUAUAUCACCAAGUCCUAAUGUUUUCUUCUGUGUGGAAAGAGCUCGCUGGUUGUAAUCGACCUUGUGUCCUGAGACUUUGCUGAACUUACUACUUCUACUAUCCUUUUUUGCAGCAUCCCUAGGUGAUGUACAGUAAUUUAUCUAUAAAUAGGCAAUUUUGCUUCUUUCCAAUAUGUAUGCCUGUUGUUUUUCAUUUCUUAUUUGCUGACUAGAACUUGCAAUCAAAUAUGAAAGUGUUACAGCUCACCUAAUUUUAAAUGAAAUGUACUUCUUUUUUGAAUAAUUUUAAGAAGUAUUUUAAGAUAUUUAUCAGUGUAAUAUUUUGGCUGAUAGCUGGCCCUCAUUCCCUCCUCCCCUGGAGAAGAAUGAAUUAUAUUAUUGAUGAGGUUGGGAUAUGACAGUGAGCAUUUAAAGCCAACCUCCUUCUCUCAUCUUUUUCACGGAAUCCAGCUGCCCGCAGUGAACUUUUCUGCACUGCUCCCCUAUUCCCUGAGCUUUACAGAGUCCAGAUCCUACAGUAUGGAAUUGGGGGUGGGGGAGGAGAUGGCUGUAGUUGUUCAGGAGCCUGUGUCUAACUCAGUUUUUAAAAGCUGAGGAGCCCGUGACUAACUCAGUUUUUAAAAGUCCUUGCUGUAAAACUAAGUCACAUUCCUUGGGAUUAACUUAGCAGUAAGAAAGAUGAUAUGUCAUCUUCAUCUGCUUUCAUCAGCCUAGAUUUUAAUUUUCUCUCUCAAGUACUGCUGAACUCAGGCAGGAAGAAGAGUGCAGUUUGUUGAACUCCAAAUCUCGUUCAACAGAACAAAGAAGUUGAGGUUUGCAAGGAAGAACCUAUAAUGAUGGUUCAUGGAAUAUAAACUAGAAAAGAAAAGAAAUAAAAGGUAAGGAGAGUUUGGUGAUGGAUAUGGAUAAAGAGGGGAGAAUGGAUUAAAGGUUACAACAAAAAAGUAAAAGCACUUCUGAGAGAAGGGUAAUUUUGAAGGCACAUAACGUGGAAGGUUAAUAUUGGUAGUCAGAAUGUGAUAUUUGCAUUUGAAAUUUUGGAGAUGGUGCCAUUUUUAUUGAUGUAAAAAUGUAAGGCAUAUGGAUAGCUAAAAUAGGGUAGAAGAAAAUAUCAUUGAAAGUAUGAGGAAGUCAAAAAACCAGGAGUCCAUGAUGUUAGAUGAAUCAUGAGCAUACAUGCUGAAGCCACAAAGGACAAUAGGAGUAGGGUAGGGAUAAAGAAUAAAACUGAGUUGCAAGCUCACUUCCCUGAGAAUGAGGAGGAAAGACCCAGAGACUACUAGUAGGCGACAGCAGCAUGGAGGGGGAAGAGUAGUAGAACUAGAUGGCAUGAGCCUCGAAGGAGCAGAGGGGGUUUGCAAGAAGGAAGGAGGAAUAACACUCUAAAAUUGGCAUUGAGGAGUAAGGUUGGUGCUGAAGCACUUUUGGGGAGGAGAGAAAAAAAGUUUGAAAGGGCUUCAGAGAAACCAUGUCCCCAAGAUACAGCCUUCUUUUAGUUAAGUGAGACUGUGAAUACAUCUCCAGAAAAGAGACUGAAAAAACCCAGGAUUUUAAUGAACUCAUAUUAGGGGUUGGGAAUUCCAAAGAGUUUGUGGGGGGAUGGUUUAUUAAGGAGGGGAAUUUGGGGAUGAGAGAAGUGGGGAGCAAAUCAGGUCAGAUUAAGGCAAGAAAGUUUUUAGGUAAUUGAUGCCUAGAGAGUGAGUUCUGAUAAGGAGUAGAAUAAACGGGGAUGUGUAGAUGAACCGUCUCCUCAGAGGUGACUGAGCAAUAAACUCUACUGCUGUGGUCUAGAUCAUUUGUCUCUGGGGAGGGGCACCUACUGCCUCAGGAAGCCUCAUAUGGUCUAAUCAAAGUCAGCUGCUUCUUAGACAGCAGGAGUUGUGGUAGUCUCUGCUCUAUCACUACACUAGUUUGGUGACUCACCUAUUUUUUCUCAUCUAGUGAAUUUGGUUCUCCUCUCUUCUGACUUCUGCCUAUUUGUUGUUUCUCCUUACUCUGGGCAUGGGGAGGGAUUAUCUUCAGACAAAAUAAUUCCUCCUUCAUAAAUGGAAUCACUGCAAGGUUUUUUUGAAAUAUAAAUACACAACUUAAUUUGCACCCAUAACACAUGCACGAUACACUGCCAAGACUUGGGUGAUGGACUGACCCAUGGUGGGGAGGUGGGGAGAGUGUAUGUGAAAGACAGAGAUAUGGAGAGAGGCAUACUAUUUUUUACGUUGAUGGAUUUCCUCCCCUAGUGUAGGAGAAAAGUAGAUGAAUGAGUAUUUCAUGUGUGAGAGCCUAAAGAAAGUGUAAAGAAGUGAAUACAUGUCUGGAAAGAAAGAUUUGAGUCUGAGGAUGGCAAAUAGAACUUCACCCUGAGAGUGCUCCCCAACUCUGUCAGAGGUCUGAAUAAUGCCAGGCUGGUGGCCAAAUACAGAAAUGUUGUAAUGGAGCACUGUAUGAGGAACAGGAACUACACUCUCCUCAACAGAAGGCCAACCCAGCAUUUCAGCCCUAAGACAAGUUCAGUGGCCUCAACCAGAGAAUAGGAACAAUACCUUGCUUGACCUUCCGGACUUCUCUUACCAAUAUAAAUAUGCAACCACUGUGUGAGGACACCUUCCAGAUUCUCGGGUCUUUCUCCACUCCUAAGUAACCACCAGACACCUAUGCCAUGUGAGGGAGGUAGUUGAAAGAGGAGGGGAGAGUUUCUACACCCAUGCUUUGUAGAGAACUAUGUAUAUUAGUAACACCUGGACUGGAGACAGAAGGAAUAGUCACUACUGUUGCAAACAAAUGUUUUCACAAUAUACCCAUAUUUUUUGUUUAGAUUUUACCAGGCAUGGACUUGAAUCCCAGCUCCACUAUUUACUAACUGUGUGACCUUGGUAAUAUUACUUAACCUUUAAGCCUUGAUUUCUUCAUCUAUAAAAUGUAAAUCAGAACCAAAUAGGUCUGGGUACUCUAAAGAUUAAAUGAGAUAGUGCAUAUAGAAUAUUUAAUACUAAACACUUUACGAAGAAGAAGGAAUCUAUUCUUAUCAUCAAGGACAUACAAUUAAUAGGUAUGUAGUAAUGGAUAAAAUAGCAAGCUCAGAACAAUAAGAUGCAUCAGAAGUGCUCUGCCAUUUUUAGGGUUUCAUGAGCAAUAAAUCUGUGAGACUAGGCAUGGAGGCUCACAUCUGUAAUCCUAACACUUUGAGAGGCUGAGGCAGGAGGGUUGCUUGAGCCCAGGCAUUCAAGGCUGUAAUGAGUCAUGAUCAUGCCACUGCACUCCAGCCUGGGUGACAGAGUGAGACUCUAUCUCAGUCAAUUGAUUAAUAAAAAAUAAAUGAAAUGUUUUGUGCUGUAUUUUCCUCAUGGAGAUUUAUACUGCACAUUAGUCCAUUAUAUACUCUGAGAAUUCCUGCAAUAAACAACCUGAAUAACUCUAUUUAUCCCACAGUUUCUCAGCAUUGCAUAUACACAAACUAUUAAUAUCUUACAGAGAUAGUCUUCCUCAAAACACCAUUUGAAUAGAUUUCCAUUUCUGUCCGAGAUGGACUGAGUGUUUGUGCCCCACUGCCAGAAGUCAUAUGUUGAAGCCCUAACCUCCAAUGUGAUGGUAUAGAAAGCAGGACCUUUGAGAGGUAAUCAAGUCAUCAAGGUACAGCCACCAUGAUGGAACGUAGCUCUCUCCCCUCUCACUCUUCUCACACACAAAGAAGAGGUCAUGUGAGCACACAACAAGAUGGCGGCACUAUAAGGCAAGACUAGAGGUCUCAGAAUAAAUUUUACCUUGCCAGCCUCCAGACUGUGAAAAAUAAAUUUCUGUAGUUUAAGCCACCCACUCUGCUGCUAAAUUUUGUUAUAGCAGCUUGCACCGAUUAAAACAAUGGAGUAACCAGAAUCAAAUUUACCCAUUUACCCUUCAUCUGAAACAACUCAAAAUCUAGACUAUACAAAAUAAUAGUUCUCAAGAUAUGGGACAUCAAGCACUAAGGACAGUGACCCUUACAGUUGCCCUAACUUGCUACCUGUGUAAAGUUUCCGUGAUGUAACAUAAGAAGGAGGAACCCAGGAGGAACCUGGUUUUCUUGCUGAGUUGAAGAGAUGGGAUUGGGAGUUCCAAGAGGCCAAGACAAGAGUUCACAAGACAGAGUGCCAGAGACAAGAGAGAUGCACAGAGAGGGAACUCUAAGGAUCUGCAAAAGAUCCCCUCAACUUUUCAGCUGAGAGCUUUCCUCAGAACAUGCACGUGAGGAACCUAUCCAAGGCUGAAAAAGAAUUACUCAGAAGGAUUAAAGGGAGUAAUCUCUUGAGCUCACACAGGCCAGGAAGAGUGGCUAUUCCUACCAGCAUUCAUGGGUAGAAUACUCAAAAGGGUUUUGCCUCAGGAAGGAAUAUUAAUCCUAAACUAGAUGCUAUUCUGGUCCUACCUAGCAAAGCUUAAAAGCAAGGCUCGGGAGGAUUAAAUGACUGCCAAGUAACUUAACCCCAUCUCAGCACAGCUCAAGACUAUAAGAAUACAAAUAUAUCCAGCAUUCAAACAAAGUAAAAUGUACAAUACUUGGCAUUUGAUAAAAAAUUACCAGACACGCAAAGAAGCAGGAAAAUUAGACUCAUAAUAGGAACAAAAUUAAUAAAUCAAAAGGGACUGUAAAUGACACAGAUGAUAGAAUGUAUAAACAAGAACAUUACUUUUUAUAACUUUGUCCUAUUUGUUAAAGAAGCCAGAGGAAAAUUGGCCAUGUUAAGUAGAGACAUGGAAGAUAUUAAAAAACUAGAUUUAAAAAAUAGUGUCUAAGAUGAAAAGGAACUGCUUAUUUUAACAGCAGAUUAGACAAUUUAGAAGAAAAGAUUAGUGAAUCAUGAAAAUAUUGCAAUAGAAACUAUCCAAAAUGAAAUACAGAGAGAUUAAAAACUAAAAAUAAAAUAAUAAAAAGAUAGUCAAUUAGCUGUAUGUCACCUUUAAACAACCUAAUAUACUUGUAAUUGAAAUCUCCAAAGGAAGCAGGGGAGGAUAUCUCAAAAAGUAAUGGCAAAAAUGUUCUAAAUUUGAUGAAAAUUAAAACUCUCAUGUCCAAGAAGAUCAACAAGCCCCAAGCAGAAGAAACAUGAAGAAAGUUACGAGAAGACACGUGAUAAUAAAUUUAGCUAAAACUAAUUAUGAAGAGAAAAUCUUAAAAGCAGCCCAAGAAGUCCUAUCUGUAGAGAGGAACAAGGUUAAGGAUGACAACAUAUUACAAGCUAGAAGACAGUAGACCAAUGUCUUUAAAGUACUGGAAGAAAAAUGUUGUCUAUCUAGAAUUCUUUAUCCAGUGAAAACAUCCUUCAAAAAUGAAUAUGAAAUAAAGAUUUUUUUUUCACACCUACAAUAGCUGAAAGAAAUCUUUACCAGCAGACAUGCCUCAAAAGAAAUGGUAAAUGAAGUCCUUCAAGCAGAAGAAAAAUGGCUCUAAAAGGAAAUUUGUAUUUACAUAAAAGAAUGAAGAGCACUAGAAAUAAUAACUAUGUGGGUAAAUAGAAAGGCUUUUUUCUUAUUAUUUAAAUCUAUUUUAAAAAUAAACAAUGUAAAGCAAAAAUAAUAAAUCAAGAUUUAUAUAGAAGUACAAGUAAAAUGUAUGACCAUAGCACAACAGCAAGUAGGAUUGGAAAUGUAAAUAUAUAGUUUAAGUUUCUUUUUUUUUUUUUUUUGAGACAGGGUCUUGCUCUCACACCCAGCUUGGAGUGUAGUGGUGUGAUCUCAGCUCACUGCAUCUUCAACCUCCUGAACUCAAGCAAUCCGCCCAUCUCAGCCUCCCAGGGAGUAGCUGGGUGGGACUACAGGUGUCUGCCACCAUACCUGGCUAAUUUUUGUAUUUUUUUUGCAGAGGCUGUGUUUCACCAUAUUGCCCAGGCUGGUCUCGAACUUCUGAGCUCAAGCGAUCCACCGUCCUCAGCCUCCAGAAGUGCUGGGAUUACAGGCAUGAGACACCAAGUCCAGCCAUAAGUUGGAGUCCACACCUUGUGACAACAAAAGACAACUCAAAUCAGCUUCAAGCAUGGAUCAUAACUAACCGCGGGGCUAUUUUUUCCAUCUGUAAUAAAGAAUGUUCCAACAUCUUUAAUAACCGAAGAUAAUCCUCUGUCGUCAUCUUGAGCAUCUAGGUUAUAAAAAUACGUACACUGCUUUGAAGAAAGGUUCUGGUCCACUGGUGUCACGUGAAGGUCAGAUUAUGGAAAACUGGCAUUGUUACAACAAGAAAUGAAGCCUGCUCAUGUUUUCUCUGGGUAUUUUGAAUAAAGUAUCUCGGAGUUUCCAACUUGACGAUUAUUUUUUUUUCUUUUUUUUUUUUUGAGACAGGGUCUCAGGCUGGAGUGCAGUGGCGCGAUCUCGGCUCACUGCAGGCUCCGCCCCCCGGGGUUCACGCCAUUCUCCUGCCUCAGCCUCCCGAGUAGCUGGGACUACAGGCGCCCGCCGCCUCGCCCGGCUAAUUUUUUGUAUUUUUAGUAGAGACGGGGUUUCACUGUGUUAGCCAGGAUGGUCUCGAUCUCCUGACCUCGUGAUCCACCCAUCUCGGCCUCCCAAAGUGCUGGGAUUACAGGCGUGAGCCACCGCGCCUGGCCCCAACUUGAAGAUUUAAUUAAAGGCAUGAGGAGUGAUUAAUUCUAAAUGCUCAUCACUGACAAUGACUUGCCAUAUGUUAGAGAAACACCUAUUGGAAUGAAUGAGAGAAAAAUGUUUGGUUUCAGAUUGAAGGUCUCCUGAAAAACGUUUUGAGCAUUCAAACAUUUUGAACAGAAUAAUCAGAAAAAUUUGGAAUGUCUUAUUCCAAGAUAAAGAGCACAUUUAAAAAAAAAGCUAUUUGGUAGAAAUAUUAGCCAAUCCUAUUUUUCCACUUUUAUGCAAAAGAACUUGUCAUCUCUGAGAAAUAAAGGGGGUAUGCUUUUUGAACUGAAGUGUAAAGAUUGGCAAUACAAUAUCAAAAUAAUAGCUAGAUGGGGGAGAUAUAAGACAGGAGGAUGGGGGUGACGAUGAAUCAGUUGAGAAGAAAUGCUCUUCAUGGUUUUGAAUUUAGAGAAACAUGUGCUGCUCAUACUUCCCCUACAAUGCCUGGCAACCAUGCAUCUUAGGCCACCAUGCAUCUUAGGCAACCAUGCAUCUUAGGCCAUCAUGCAUCUUAGGGAAAGUAUGAGCAGCACCCAAGUAUGUUCUCUAAAUUCAAAACAUUGGGAAUGGUCCAGAGGUGCCUCUGGUGGUUGCCAUCUCCAGAACUCCCCCUUCAAGUUUCUUUCUUGGUCAACAGGGAACCAGGUCAGAGUUGAAUUUAUCCUCCAUCCCCCUGGGAGCUCUGUGUGCUAAUCUUGUUGAGAUUUUUGGCCACUCAAUGGCUUUGGCUUCAGAUUGCCUCUCCAGUUUUUCACCCUUAAUAAAAACUUCUUCAUCCUUCCCGGGCAUACAAAACAACCUGAAUGAACUUGUUCACACUAAGGUAGGGGUAGAGAAACUGGGCAGGCUAAGACAAAGGCUAUGGUGACUGACAGCAUUAGAGCAAGGGUUACCCAGAAUCCCAGGAGAUUCCCCUGGGCUUCUUCCAAGUGGGUCUCCUAGUAAAGAAUCUUGGAGACUGGGUCUUUACUACCAUCUCUUUGUUCCGUAAGUACAGUAUUGAGAAGGCAGUGAGAGAUUAAAAAUUAUUGUGUCAGCCUCUUAUCUCUUAGGCCAAUAGCCAUCUUGUGACUGCCCAAGGCACUUGGCAGGAGCCCUGGAGCCCAACCUCAGAUCUUAGGCUACCAUCAUCACCUUGCUUCUUCAGGCUACCAGUGUAUGCUGGGCUGGUGAAACACUGGGCAAUCCACCCAACUGCCCAUCAGAAACCUUUGUUAUGGACAUUCCUAAAUCUUCUCACAGUUUCUUCUCACUGUUGACAUACCAAAGAGACAUUUCCAAGACUGUCUACUUCUGCUUUCCUCCGCCUACAAAGCUCCUAAGGCCUCCAGUGACAACAUGUUUGAGUAUCCUUAUAUCUCUUGGAGAGCAGGUUCAUGUUCUAAUACUAAGCACUUUCUGAAUUUAUGAGAAGAAAAGUAGUUCUCUGCCUUGGGGAGCAUUGGCUAAUAAUUUUUAGAUAAUUAAAAACUGCCACGAUGUACAUUCAUACUAAAUCCUAGCUUAUAUUACUCUGCAGUAUCAAAGGGUGAAUGUUGACGUUGAAAAUAAUGGUAACAAUAACCACAAUUUAUUAUUGUUUAUUACUGGUGCCACAUGCCAUGCUAAACAUUGGGCCUAGGUCCUUCCUAGUUCUCCCAAUACCCACCAAAAGAAACCACUUCACAUGAGUUAAAACUGAGGCUCAGAGUGGUGCGGGGACUAGCCCAAAAUCACAUAGCCAUUUGAAAUGUUAGAAGCCAUUUCAGAUCUAGGUCUUUUUAUUUCUCCACCCAGUCUAGCUAUUAUUUUGACAUGGCAUUGGUAGUUUUUACAAUCCAAUUCAACAGUGUCUCUAGGAUGACAAAUUCAAUAAAGGGAAAAAAUAGGGAUAGCCUGACAUUUCUCCCAAAUAGUUGCUUCUUUUUCUUUUUAAAAUAAAACUUUUAAAAAAUUAAAUAAAAGUUAAGAUAGACCUUGCUGAAAUAUGCAAAGGACUUCAAAGAACAAAAUGGCACCCAAGAACUGUAAGAGCACAGUGUUGUCUUGGCAGGAUGAAGUCCAACAAUGUACAUAGAAAAGAUAACCAUGUCAAUAGUUAGUAGUGACACAUGUUAACUAUUACUACCAUGGCAAUGAUGACGAUGAUGAUGACAUAGUUAUUCCUCUCAAGAAGUUCUCCGUCUAGUGGAGGAAGUAUUCAGGUAAACAAGAGAUCAUAGUACAGUGUGGCAGAAAUAAUGCACAAAGUGUGAGCAGGACUAGAAAAAGGAGAACUCAAUCUGGAUGGGCAGGUGUGUGGGUGGGGACCACGGCGUUGCAUGCACACACAGACGUACACUGUGUGUGUGUGUGUAGAGAUGACUGUAAAUACAACUGCUUGUCUUUUCAUAUAUGUGAACAGAAACAGAUUCAGUUUCAGACAACUGCUACUUUUAUCAUUCCUUUUCUUUGUGCCACAUAGCACUGGGGUCUUUAGGAACUUUUUACAAAUACCACUUUGGCUGCUAUUGAAGACUAUUUUGGAUUUGUAUUCCACUCACCAGAGGUUUCCAUUGUAAUACACAGGGGUAGGCAGGCAGAAUGGAAAGAAAAAGAAUAAUGGUUUCUUAGGAAACUGAACACUACAUUUCCUGUGAUUACAAUCUCAAGGCUAAAGCUCCAUGCUCAUUACGGGAUUUUCUUGACAGCAGUGUGUCCCUGUCAAAAGGUUUUGAAAGAGUUUGAAAUUAGAGUUUCUUUGGGUUCCAGGAGGCAUUGGCUCAGGACUUUGGCCAAAGACACUUCAUCUGCUGACAUUUCUUGAAUGGCCUCGUUUAAGCCUAGCCACCUUGCCUCUUGCUCCUGGGACGUGGCUGCCCAUAAAAGUAGGGUGAGUACUCAAUCAUUAGCCAGUUGCCAGUGAGCAUUCAAUGUCGCCAAAGUGCUGGGCUAGGCUUUGUGAGGGACACCAGAGCCCAGUUCUUAGAGCUUCCAGUCUAGUUAAAGAAGUAGUACCGGCUGGGCGCAGUGGCUCACACCUGUAAUCCUGGCACUUUGGAAGGCCGAGGCAGGUGGGUCACGAGGUCAGGAGAUCGAGACCAUCCUGGCCAACACGGUGAAACCCCGUCUCUACUAAAAAUACAAAAAAUUAGCCGGGCAUGGUGGCCAGCGCCUGUAGUCCCAGCUACUUGGGAGGCUGAGGCAGUGCCUAAACUAGAAACGGACAAGUAUUUCACUGGGCCAACAUUGGGGGGUGGUGCUGCAAACACUGAGUGUCAGAGGACUUUGAAGGUGGGAGAGAGCUGUCUUGCUGCAUGUAGGUUUUUGGGGACGGGCAAGUAAAUGGGUAGAUGGCCAGUUGAAAGGAUGGUAGCGUGAACAGGUGGGUGGGUGGAUGGAUGGAUGGAUGGAUGGAUGGAUGGAUGGAUGGAAGGAUGGCAGCCAGAUGGGGCUGAAUGGCCGGAUGAUGAAUGGGUGGGUGGGUGCAUGAGUGCAGCAGCAUUACACAGUAUCUUUGAAGUCAAUUAGACAAGAAUUGCUGUUCUGCCAUUUACUAGCUACAUGACCUCAGGAGAUUUAAUUAACCCUUUCAAACACAAUCGCCUCACUUACAAAAUAGGAGUGAUAAUACUUGCCUUGCAAGCUUGUUGAGAAAAUUGAAUGUGAUAAGGCUUGUGAAGCACCUGGCAUAUGGUAGACACACAAUAAAGAGGAACUAGUUUUUUUCUGUUUUUUUUUUUUUUUUUUUUUUUUUUGAGAUGGAAUCUCACUCUGUAGCCCAAGCUGGUGUGCAGUGGUGCAAUCUUGGCUCACUGCAACCCCUGCAUACUGGGCUCAAGCGUUCUCAUGCCUCAGCCUCCCGAGUAGCUGGGACUACAGGCACGUGCCUCCAAACCCGGCUAAUUUUUUUGUAUUUUUUGUAUUUUAAUAGAGACAGGGUUUCACCAUGUUGCCCAGGGUGGUCUCAAACUCCUGAGCUCAGGCAAUCCACCCACCUCAGCCUCCCAAAAUGCUGGGAUUACAGGCGUGAGCCACAGCACCUGUCCGAAACUAGGUUUAUUAAUAUGAGUAAUGAUCUAGAAAAGUUUCCAGGUGGACAUGGGAUUAGAGCCAGGCCUGAAGAAAGGACUGGAUGGAGAUGGAUGGAAAAGAGGAAAAGGGCAGUCUCUGACGAAAGGGCAGCACUAUGAGAGUGUGUGCCUGGAAAAGCUAGAGUUGCAUCUGGUGUCACUGAGGGGGCUUCCACAGCCACAAGUUUGUGGGGCUGGAAAGGCAGAUUGAAGCCUAAGUGUAGAGGACUUGACAUGCUUUUCGUGUCAAGUCAUGAGAUUUGGCUUUUCCCUGGAGAUUCGUGGAGGUUACUGAAGGUUCAGAAGGAAGUAGGAACGUUCCCUCUGGACCCCCUUUCCUCUGAGCCUGACCUUGACAACAUCCGGACUUCCUUUGAACUUGGAAGCUCCUGGCUUCUUACUGUAUUUAUAGUUCCCCUUACCUUUUACAAGAAGCUGUGGACUUCCUGUGCCCAGGACAGCUGUAGGACUCUGGCAGCCAGCACUCUCCUCCCUCCCCAGGGAGCAGCUGAAAGACUGCUGCCUACAGAAACUCUCGGCUGACAGUUAAGAAGCAAGUGAUUUUUAAAGAUUAGAUGAUACAAAGGGAAGCAAGUCCCCUUAAACCUCCUUUGUCAAAUAAAUGCUACCUGUGAAUCAGAGGAGCGAUCUACUAUGACUCACCCUUUCACAAGCCUCUGCAGAGAAGGCCGGCUGCCAGCUGAUUUUCAGGGCAUGGUUCCAGGUGACUAUGGGAUCCCAGGGACCCUGGGUUCAGGGGAGGGGCUGUGCUUUACCACCAAGAAAACCACACAGGGAGGCUGACACAGGAACCAAGAGGGUGCCUAGAAGGUUUCCUUCCAUAGGAGGCAGCAGAGUCAAGGGGAGCGGUUCUGUUUUGCUUUUGGAAAGCAAGAGCAUUAGAGCUGAAAAGUGCCUAGAAUCCACCUCUUCUUAAUGGGAGGUUCUGGAUACCCAUCAGGAAGUUUGUAAACUGCAAAAUUAGGUGGGUGUGUGCAUUUUGUGCAAAGAGGGCACAUAGUUUUAAUCAGAUACUCUUGGUUCUAAGAGCCUCUCUCUAUGUUUUGACACCUAAACUCCUCAUCUGGCCCACAGAGCAUGAUUCAGUGAUUUGUUCAAAGUCACACCACCAGUGGAUAACAGAGAAGAGAGAGAAAGCAAAGUCAUCAGGGCCCUUUCUGCUGCCCUGGCCCCAUGAGAGAACCUACAAUAAGCGAUCUGCUGUGACAUUCUGAACAUAGCCCCCUAGACAGAAAUUAAAUGUGUCAAGAAGGACCACUUUGAAAACCUUUGUGCCACCAGCCCCUUCACUCCUUCCAAUUAGCCUACCCCCACCCCAUGACCCUACCUACCUAUCAAGUUGGCUUCCUGUUAAGAGGGCAACAUGCUUUAGAGACAAGUAUUUGCAGUUGAAGGAUCCCUGAAGCUGCCUCUCAAAUUCUCAAGCACUUAGGGUGGGAGUCACUGAGCCGCUGGCCUUCUUGGCUGAACAUUUCGGGGGAAACAGCAGAUUGAGAGUAAGCAAGUAAACAGGAGCACCCUGGGGGUACUGGAAGUCAUUGUUACCUUUUUUCCCUUUUUUCAUUUAUGUGGAUGAGUUGUUGUCACCUCAAAUUGACCUUAGUGUAUCUUCAACAUAGUUGUAAUGUAAGGAACCCACAGUUUGAAGACAGCUUGGGUUUGAAUCUUAGCUCCAUCAUUUAUUGCUAAUUUAACUUUGAGCAAGUUUCUUAAACUUCUAUACCUUGGUGUUCCCAUGUGUAAUUGAGUACUUGGCCUUUGGCAGAGAUUGGUAAGUGCCAAUUAAAACCAAUUCCUGACCAGGCAGCCAGACUGCUCUCUAGCCCAGCCUCCCUUGCAGUUAGACUUGCUGUGUGAUUAAAUUCUCUAGCCAACAGAAUGUGGGGAGAGGAUGAUGUGUCACUUCCAGAUCUGGCCCAUAAAAAUUUUCUGGGUUGGGCAAAGGAAAUGAACAGACAUUUUUCAAAAGAAGACAAACAGCCGGGCGCGGUGGCUCACGCUUGUAAUCCCAGCACUUUGGGAGGCCGAGGCGGGCGGAUCACGAGGUCAGGAGAUCAAGACCACAGUGAAACCCCGUCUCUACUAAAAAUACAAAAAAUUAGCCGGGCGUGGUGGCGGGUGCCUGUAGUCCCAGCUACUCGGAGAGGCUGAGG